GAUGCGUGGGUCUUCUUCUCCUCAGCACACGACGGAGGCGAGAUCUGGCUACACUUUCCUAAUUGCAAAUGCUGCAAGGGUGAGAGCCUUCUUUGGAUGCCCAGUUGAUGAACGCAAGGACUUUCUGCUGCAGAUGAUGUAUAGUCCUCAGGACUGUUGAGGUACUUUGUAAAAUUGCAGAUAAGUGAGUCUAGGCUUCAAAAGUGAUGUUAAUUUAACAUACCAUAGUUGCAGCAAGAAUAAAAAAUAAUAAUAAUUCAGUGUAACAAACAUUUAUAGUUUUUUCA